GAAAUAAGGUAUUCAAGAUUAAGCUUCUAACUUCAAUCUAUAGUGGUGAAAAUCCAUUAUUAUUUCU
rnacentral:tRNA from 1 species